AACGAACGCUGGCGGCAGGCUUAACACAUGCAAGUCGAGCGCCCCGCAAGGGGAGCGGCAGACGGGUGAGUAACACGUGGGGAUCUGCCCGAUGGUACGGAAUAACUCAGGGAAACUUGUGCUAAUACCGUAUGUGCCCGCAAGGGGAAAGAUUUAUCGCUAUCGGAUGAACCCGCGUCAGAUUAGCUAGUUGGUGUGGUAAAGGCGCACCAAGGCGACGAUCUGGAGCUGGUCUGAGAGGAUGAUCAGCCACACUGGGACUGAGACACGGCCCAGACUCCUACGGGAGGCAGCAGUGGGGAAUAUUGGACAGUGGGCGCAAGCCUGAUCCAGCCAUGCCGCGUGAGUGAUGAAGGCCUUAGGGUUGUAAAGCUCUUUCGCCGACGAAGAUAAUGACGGUAGUCGGAGAAGAAGCCCCGGCUAACUUCGUGCCAGCCGCCGCGGUAACAC
rnacentral:rRNA from 1 species